AUCCAGCUGAUGAAUCCUUAAUGGAACGAAACGCGCGUCCUAGAU
rnacentral:hammerhead_ribozyme from 1 species